ACAGCAUCCUACAGCAUGGACCACCUAUAGCCACAGCUCUCGCAGUGGAUUAAUGAAUGCCAAACUCAUUAGCUACAGACAAAUAACAUCUAAAUAGAGGUGACCUUCCGGAUAAUGACAAUGGUGAGCUUCCUGCUGGGGGGUCACGUGUGCUGUUGAGGUACAAUUUGGUACUGAUGAUUUUUACCACCUAAUGACCUAUAGGCAGAUCCAUCUUGAGUUCAUCUCCAGGCUGGUCUUCUGCGUGUGAGAGAUGUUGUCCCUUCAGUGUGUUUUGGAAGCUGAGGUGAGGGAAGGAGCCCUGAUCUUCUGGCAGCUGCCAGGGGAAAAGGCUUUUUUUUCCCUGCCCGGUCCCAGCACGGCUUCCUCCUGCUGUUCCCACUGAAAGAAUGGAUCCCUGAGAGCAACAAAAGCAGUCACGCAGUUCACUUGAGCAGUCAUGCAUAAAGAUGGGCAGACUUUCUGCUGUGAAAACCAAAGGGCAGCCCCCCCCCCCCGCCACCAGUUUUCCAUAGGUUCUCAGGAGGAUGCUGAGGAUCUCAUACAGGAGGCCGGUGUCCCUGGCGUGCACCGGGUGCUGCUGUUCCCCUGGGCUGGGGCUGUCACAGCAGCCAGUCAGUGUACUGCUCUGCAAAUAAGAAGGUAAGGAGCGAUGAUAGCCGUGCCUCGUUCCACACUGCCGGCUCAGAGUUGCUUUAUUUUGAGGGAUGUGAAGGGUUUGAUACAGGUGUCUGUUUUCUACUGGAACAGCAGCGCAAGAGCUCUGUUCCUCAUGGCGUGGGGUGCAUGGCUGACGUGCACAAAAAGCAUUAAUCCUCUGUGCAGUCAUCUUGAAUAACUCGGAUCUCUGGUGAGAUUUACGAGGGGUAGUUAUUGUUUUAAGUGUACACUGAGGGCUCAGUUCAUUGUCGGAGCAACUGGAGGGAACCAGGUUAGAACACGGCAGCAGGUGGCUGCAUCCAUGUGAUGUGCUUCUUUGGGAGUUUGGCUUGGAGCUGUGCACCAGUGUAAAUAAUUCAUCUGUGCCAACAUCAACAGCAUGCCUCGUGAUUACUUAAAAAAAAGGCUGAUGCCUCUGAAAUGCUGGGUUACGGGGGACGUGUCAGAAAGUGAAAUAUUUCUGGCUGUUGCCCUCACUGUCAGCGCUGAGCUCUGUGUUGUUCAGGACUUGUCAGGUUUCCAGAAAUUAAAGUAACUUCUAGCACUGAUUCAGCAGACAGUACGAUGGCAAAUCCUAAAGCACUGCUGGAAGUGACAGGUCUGUUGGGAUUUUCUUGCUUGAAAAGCCUGAAUAGUUUGUACGUCUUGGGCAGAAUGGGAAUGGGGUAGAUGAGUAGUGAAGGUUUCCUUAGAGCUUCUGUAGAAAUGCUUCAGUGGAGUCUGAGGAAGCUCCGUGCACUCAUAUAACUAUCAGCUGACUGAUUGGAUCUUUGCAGUCUGUGAUUCCUUCAGCUCCCUCCAUUAUGCUGCAGGAUGGGUUCACUGAAGUAAAGGCCAUUUGAUGCAGGCAAGUAUGGGUGUCAGUGUGCCAGAGAUGCUACUGCUGCCCAGCAGGGUUUCACCAAAGCAGUGGCUCUGAUGGUGAUGUGAGUUUGGGGGAAUGGCAAUAAAAUUGGUAUUUAG
ensembl:lncRNA